rnacentral:lncRNA from 12 species
UUACCCAACGAGAGAUUCAUUCGCCUGCAGUGCAAAUGUGUAAAGUUUUCCUCUACAAGGAACAUUGCACUCCUAGGUUGUCUUAAUUGCAUUCCUUUUAUAAUUCAUCUCUCAAAUGCCACAGUUGCUCUAAAACAGAAAAGAAAAAAAAAACAAAAAAGCCAAACCCAAGAGGAUCAAAGUGUAUGUCUCUGCUGGAACAAACAGAAGCAAGAGAGGCUGGGGAGAAGAGAAGAUUUAGCCCUUGGGUGGAUUUUGCUGAAAUGUUCUAUUUGUGCAGCGGUGAUUUGUACCAGGUUGCCCACUGUACACUCCGAAGAGAACCGUGACGAACUUGCCCUCUUGGGUCUUGAGUUGCCCAGAUGCGUGUUGCUGUCGCUGCAGCGGAAGACCUUCAUCCUACUGCUCACUCCUCGGCUCGACAAAAGCAAUUUUUCACUCCCGGGCUUUGCAGGGGCCAGGUGUGCAUUCCAUAAUACGCCUAUUAUACAGCCCUUCUCGGUAGCCAUCGCGUAUACAAUGACCCUUCUGAUUUGUCCUAUUGCGUGGUUGCCAAGGACUUUGGUCCCCACCCAGUACAACUUGAGGUGA